rnacentral:rRNA from 1 species
GAACAAUACUCUCAAAGUUUGACCUCAAAUCAGGUAGGAAUACCCGCUGAACUUAAGCAUAUCAAUAAGCGGAGGAAAAGAAACCAACCGGGAUUGCCUUAGUAACGGCGAGUGAAGCGGCAAAAGCUCAAAUUUGAAAUCUGGUACCUUUGGUGCCCGAGUUGUAAUUUGUAGAAGGUAACUUUGGGGCUGGUCCUUGUCUAUGUUCCUUGGAACAGGACGUCAUAGAGGGUGAGAAUCCCGUGUGGCGAGGAUCCCAGUUCUUUGUAAAGUGCUUUCGAAGAGUCGAGUUGUUUGGGAAUGCAGCUCUAAGUGGGUGGUAAAUUCCAUCUAAAGCUAAAUAUUCGCGAGAGACCGAUAGCGAACAAGUACAGUGAUGGAAAGAUGAAAAGAACUUUGAAAAGAGAGUGAAAAAGUACGUGAAAUUGUUGAAAGGGAAGGGCAUUUGAUCAGACAUGGUGUUUUGCGCCCUCUGCUCCUUGUGGGUGGGGGAAUCUCGCAGCUCACUGGGCCAGCAUCAGUUUUGGCGGCAGGAUAAAUCUGCAGGAAUGUGACUUGCUUCGGUAAGUGUUAUAGCCUGUAGAAAUACUGCCAGCUGGGACUGAGGAC